rnacentral:rRNA from 1 species
GGGGGAAUCUUGCGCAAUGGCCGAAAGGCUGACGCAGCGACGCCGCGUGUGGGAGGAAGCUCUUCGGGGUGUAAACCACUGUUGCCCGGGACGAACAUGCUCUUUCGAGAGCACUGACGGUACCGGGUGAGGAAGCACCGGCUAACUCUGUGCCAGCAGCCGCGGUAAUACAGAGGGUGCGAGCGUUGUCCGGAAUCACUGGGCGUAAAGGGCGCGUAGGCGGCUUGAUAAGCGUGCGGUGAAAGCCCGGGGCUCAACCCCGGGUCGGCCGUGCGAACUGUCGAGCUGGAGCACUGUAGAGGCAGGUGGAAUUCCGGGUGUAGCGGUGGAAUGCGUAGAGAUCCGGAAGAACACCGGUGGCGAAGGCGGCCUGCUGGGCAGUGGCUGACGCUGAGGCGCGACAGCGUGGGGAGCAAACAGGAUUAGAUACCCUGGUAGUCCACGCCGUAAACGAUGGGCACUAGGUGCUUGGGGAGCGACCCUCCGAGUGCCGGCGCUAACGCAUUAA